rnacentral:rRNA from 1 species
AUUGAACGCUGGCGGCAUGCUUUACACAUGCAAGUCGAACGAGUGGCGGACGGGUGAGUAACGCAUCGGAACGUACCGAGUAAUGGGGGAUAACUGUCCGAAAGGACAGCUAAUACCGCAUACUAUUCGAAGGGCCGAUGUUUGAGUAGCUGGUUGGCGGGGUAAAGGCCCACCAAGGCGACGAUCCUUAGCGGGUCUGAGAGGAUGAGCAGCCACACGGGGACUGAGACACGGUCCAGACUCCUACGGGAGGCAGCAGUGGGGAAUAUUGGACAAUGGGCGCAAGCCGGAUGCAGCCAUGCCGCGUGUAUGAAGAAGGCCUUCGGGUUGUAAAGUACUUUUGGCAGGGAGGCGGUACCUGCAGAAGAAGCACCGGCUAACUACGUGCCAGCAGCCGCGGUAAUUC